UGGGGAAUUUUGGACAAUGGACGCAAGUCUGAUCCAGCCAUGCCGCGUGCGGGAAGAAGGCCUUCGGGUUCUAAACCGCUUUUGUCAGGGAAGAAACGAGUUUCUCUAAUACAGAGACUUAAUGACGGUACCUGAAGAAUAAGCACCGGCUAACUACGUGCCAGCAGCCGCGGUAAUACGUAGGGUGCAAGCGUUAAUCGGAAUUACUGGGCGUAAAGCGUGCGCAGGCGGUUAUGUAAGACAGAUGUGAAAUCCCCGGGCUCAACCUGGGACCUGCAUUUGUGACUGCAUAGCUAGAGUACGGCAGAGGGGGAUGGAAUUCCGCGUGUAGCAGUGAAAUGCGUAGAUAUGCGGACGAACACCGAUGGCGAAGGCAAUCCCCUGGGCCUGUACUGACGCUCAUGCACGAAAGCGUGGGGAGCAAACA
rnacentral:rRNA from 1 species